UAGACUGUUUGCUUGCUUAUGAUCCUGAUUAGCUGACUUGGAUUGUCUCUUCUGCAUUUGAUUGUUAUCUAGGUGACCCAAAAGUGCUGAUUUUAUAAGAAAGGGAGGCAAUUCUCCUGUGAUGGAGCCUGCUGCUGCUUUUCAUUCUCAGCAAUGGCUAAGUGGUGUUUAAUUGUCGCUGGUAUUUUAACUGCUUAGUAAUAUUGAUGUUGUAUCCUUAGCUAUUGCUUAGUGAGUUCCAUUGUAUUGGUACAUUUUAUUCUGAACUGGUAUCCUGUAUCAUUUAGAGCUUGCUGUACAUCUUGUACACAAGACUUUUUGCUUCUAAUGCCAAUUUGCCUUUUCCAAAAAAA
rnacentral:lncRNA from 1 species